rnacentral:rRNA from 1 species
AUUAGAUACCCUAUUAUUUUUAGUGUAAAUUUGGUUAGCCUGAGUAGUAAUAGAUAUAAUCUUUAAACUUAAAGAAUUUGGCGGUAUUAUAGUCUAUUUAGAGGAAUCUGUUAUGUAAUCGAUAGUCCACGUUGAACCUUACUUAUAUUAUUUCUUGUAUAUCGCUGUUUAGAAAAUACUUUUAGGUUAAAUAUUUUCUUAAUAAUAUUAUUUAAUAAUUCAAGUCAAGGUGCAGUAAUAUAUAAGUUGAAUAAUGGAUUACAAUAAAUUUUAUUUAAAUGGAUAAUGAAUUUAAUAUAAUUUUGAAGGUGGAUUUAAAAGUAAUUUUAUAAAGAUUAUUAAAAUGAUYUAUAGCUCUAUAAUAUGUACACAUCGCCCG